GACGAACGCUGGCGGCGUGCUUAACACAUGCAAGUCGAACGAAGAGCGAUGGAAGCUUGCUUCUAUCAAUCUUAGUGGCGAACGGGUGAGUAACGCGUAAUCAACCUGCCCUUCAGAGGGGGACAACAGUUGGAAACGACUGCUAAUACCGCAUACGAUCUAAUCUCGGCAUCGAGGAUAGAUGAAAGGUGGCCUCUACAUGUAAGCUAUCACUGAAGGAGGGGAUUGCGUCUGAUUAGCUAGUUGGAGGGGUAACGGCCCACCAAGGCGAUGAUCAGUAGCCGGUCUGGGAGGAUGAACGGCCACAAUGGGACUGGGGAACGGCCCAGACUCCUACGGGAGGCAGCAGUGGGGAAUCUUCCGCAAUGGACGAAAGUCUGACGGAGCAACGCCGCGUGAGUGAUGACGGCCUUCGGGUUGUAAAGCUCUGUUAAUCGGGACGAAAGGCCUUCUUGCGAAUAGUGAGAAGGAUUGACGGUACCGGAAUAGAAAGCCACGGCUAACUACGUG
rnacentral:rRNA from 1 species